CCUACGGGAGGCAGCAGUAGGGAAUCUUCCACAAUGGACGAAAGUCUGAUGGAGCAACGCCGCGUGAGUGAAGAAGGGUUUCGGCUCGUAAAACUCUGUUGUUAAAGAAGAACAUAUCUGAGAGUAACUGUUCAGGUAUUGACGGUAUUUAACCAGAAAGCCACGGCUUACUACGUGCCAGCAGCCGCGGUAAU
rnacentral:rRNA from 1 species